rfam:Morus notabilis contig2782, whole genome shotgun sequence.
GAAAAUAAUGGAGAGUCAAUAUGUCUCUUCGUUGAAAAGAACAUGGAGGUAUGGCGAAAUGGCCGAGAUAUUGUUUCAGUCGUCACUUUCUCAGAUUGACGAUUCAAUUGUUGUUCAUCUAUAU